CAGUAGCCGCGGUAAUACGAAGGGUGCAAGCGUUAAUCGGAAUUACUGGGCGUAAAGCGUGCGUAGGCGGUUUGUUAAGUCUGCUGUGAAAUCCCCGGGCUCAACCUGGGAAUGGCAGUGGAUACUGGCAAGCUAGAGUGUGUCAGAGGAUGGUGGAAUUCCCGGUGUAGCGGUGAAAUGCGUAGAGAUCGAGAGGAACAUCAGUGGCGAAGGCGGCCAUCUGGGACAACACUGACGCUGAGGCACGAAAGCGUGGGGAGCAAACAGGAUUAGAUACCCCUGUAGUCCCUGUCUCUUAUAC
rnacentral:rRNA from 1 species